UACGAAGGGGGCUAGCGUUGCUCGGAAUCACUGGGCGUAAAGCGCACGUAGGCGGACUCUUAAGUCGGUGGUGAAAUCCUGGAGCUCAACUCCAGAACUGCCUUUGAUACUGAGGAUCUUGAGUUCGGGAGAGGUGAGUGGAACUGCGAGUGUAGAGGUGAAAUUCGUAGAUAUUCGCAAGAACACCAGUGGCGAAGGCGGCUGACUGGUCCGGUUCUGACGCUGAGGCGCGAAAGCGUGGGGAGCAAACAGG
rnacentral:rRNA from 1 species